rnacentral:rRNA from 1 species
AGUGAACGCUGGCGGUAGGCCUAACACAUGCAAGUCGAACGGCAGCACAGGAGAGCUUGCUCUCUGGGUGGCGAGUGGCGGACGGGUGAGGAAUACAUCGGAAUCUACCUUUUCGUGGGGGAUAACGUAGGGAAACUUACGCUAAUACCGCAUACGACCUACGGGUGAACGCAGGGGACCUUCUGGCCUUGCGCGAUUGAGUGAGCCAAUGUCGGAUUAGCUAGUUGGCGGGGUAAAGGCCCACCAAGGCGACGAGCCGUAGCUGGUCUGAGAGGAUGAACAGCCACACUGGAACUGAGACACGGUCCAGACUCCUACGGGAGGCAGCAGUGGGGAAUAUUGGACAAUGGGCGCAAGCCUGAUCCAGCCAUACCGCGUGGGUGAAGAAGGCCUUCGGGUUGUAAAGCCCUUUUGUUGGGAAAGAAUCCAGCUGGCUAAUACCCGGUUGGGAUGACGGUACCCAAAGAAUAAGCACCGGCUAACUUCGUGCCAGCAGCCGCAGUAA